UACGUAGGGCGCAAGCGUUAUCCGGAAUUAUUGGGCGUAAAGAGCUCGUAGGCGGUUUGUCGCGUCUGCCGUGAAAGUCCGGGGCUCAACUCCGGAUCUGCGGUGGGUACGGGCAGACUAGGGUGAUGUAGGGGAGACUGGAAUUCCUGGUGUAGCGGUGAAAUGCGCAGAUAUCAGGAGGAACACCGAUGGCGAAGGCAGGUCUCUGGGCAUUAACUGACGCUGAGGAGCGAAAGCAUGGGGAGCGAACAGG
rnacentral:rRNA from 1 species